rnacentral:rRNA from 1 species
GAUGAACGCUAGCGGCAGGCCUAAUACAUGCAAGUCGAGGGAGAAGUCGUCUUCGGAUGGCGGGAACCGGCGAACGGGUGCGUAACACGUAUGCAAUCUGCCUCUGACUGGGGAAUAGCCCGGGGAAACUCGGAUUAAUACCCCAUAACAUUACGAAAUGGCAUCAUUUUGUAAUCAAAGCUCCGGCGGUCAGAGAUGAGCAUGCGGCCCAUUAGCUAGUUGGUGAGGUAAUGGCUCACCAAGGCUACGAUGGGUAGGGGGUCUGAGAGGAUGAUCCCCCACACUGGAACUGAGACACGGACCAGACUCCUACGGGAGGAAGAAGUAGGGAAUAUUGAGCAAUGGACGCAAGUCUGACCCAGCCAUGCCGCGUGCAGGAUGACGGCCCUAUGGGUUGUAAACUGCUUUUCUACGGGAAGAAACACUCCGACGUGUCGGAGCUUGACGGUACCGUAGGAAUAAGGAUCGGCUAACUCCGUGCCAGCCGCCGCAGUAACAC